rnacentral:rRNA from 1 species
GACGAACGCUGGCGGCGUGCUUAACACAUGCAAGUCGUACGGUAAGGCCCUUUCGGGGGUCCACGAGUGGCGAACGGGUGAGUAACACGUGAGUAACCUGCCCACAACUUUGGGAUAACGCUAGGAAACUGGUGCUAAUACUGGAUAUGUGCUCCUGCUGCAUGGUGGGGGUUGGAAAGCUCCGGCGGUUGUGGAUGGACUCGCGGCCUAUCAGCUUGUUGGUGGGGUAGUGGCCUACCAAGGCGGCGACGGGUAGCCGGCCUGAGAGGGUGACCGGCCACAUUGGGACUGAGAUACGGCCCAGACUCCUACGGGAGGCAGCAGUGGGGAAUAUUGCACAAUGGGCGCAAGCCUGAUGCAGCAACGCCGCGUGCGGGAGGACGGCCUUCGGGUUGGAAACCGCUUUCAGCAGGGACGAAGCUUUUUGUGACGGUACCUGCAGAAGAAGCACCGGCUAACUACGUG